rnacentral:rRNA from 1 species
GACGAACGCUGGCGGCGUGCUUAACACAUGCAAGUCGAACGAAGUGGCGAACGGGUGAGUAACGCGUAAUCAACCUGCCCUUCAGAGGGGGACAACAGUUGGAAACGACUGCUAAUACCGCAUACUGAAGGCGGGGAUUCCGUCUGAUUAGCUGGUUGGAGGGGUAACGGCCUACCAAGGCGAUGAUCAGUAGCCGGUCUGAGAGGAGGAACGGGCACAUUGGGACUGCGGCACGGCCCAGACUCCUACGGGAAGCAGCAGGGGGGAAUCUUCCGCAAUGGAAGAAAGUCUGACGGAGCAACGCCGCGUGAGUGAUGACGGCCUUCGGGUUGGAAAGCUCUGUUAAUCGGGACGCGGUACCGGAAUAGAAAGCCACGGCUAACUACGUGCCAGCAGCCGCGGUAAUAC